AGAACUUAGCAGAGAUGCUUUGGUGCCUUCGGGAACUCUGAGACAGGUGCUGCAUGGCUGUCGUCAGCUCGUGUUGUGAAAUGUUGGGUUAAGUCCCGCAACGAGCGCAACCCUUAUCCUUUGUUGCCAGCGGUCCGGCCGGGAACUCAAAGGAGACUGCCAGUGAUAAACUGGAGGAAGGUGGGGAUGACGUCAAGUCAUCAUGGCCCUUACGAGUAGGGCUACACGCGUGCUACAAUGGCGCAUACAAAGAGAAGCGACCUCGCGAGAGCAAGCGGACCUCAUAAAGUGCGUCGUAGUCCGGAUUGGAGUCUGCAACUCGACUCCAUGAAGUCGGAAUCGCUAGUAAUCGUAGAUCAGAAUGCUACGGUGAAUACGUUCCCGGGCCUUGUACACACCGCCCGUCACACCAUGGGAGUGGGUUGCAAAAGAAGUAGGUAGCUUAACCUUCGGGAGGGCGCUUACCACUUUGUGAUUCAUGACUGGGGUGAAGUCGUAACAAGGUAGGCGUAGCGAG
rnacentral:rRNA from 1 species